rnacentral:rRNA from 1 species
UACGUAGGGAGCAAGCGUUAUCCGGAUUUAUUGGGUGUAAAGGGUGCGUAGACGGAGAAGCAAGUUAGUUGUGAAAUCCCUCGGCUUAACUGAGGAACUGCAACUAAAACUACUUCCCUUGAGUACUGGAGAGGAAAGUGGAAUUCUUAGUGUAGCGGUGAAAUGCGUAGAUAUUAGGAGGAACACCAGUGGCGAAGGCGACUUUCUGGACAGUAACUGACGUUGAGGCACGAAAGUGUGGGGAGCAAACAGG